AUUGAACGCUGGCGGCAGGCCUAACACAUGCAAGUCGAGCGAGCGGCGGACGGGUGAGUAACGUAUGGGGACUGCCCGAUAGAGGGGGAUAACUACUGGAAACGGUGGCUAAUACCGCAUACUAUCGGAUAACCCAUAUGGGAUUAGCUAGUAGUUGGGGUAAAGGCUCACCUAGGCGACGAUCUCUGGCUGGUCUGAGAGGAUGAUCAGCCGAACUGGGACUGAGACACUGCCCAGACUCCUAGGGAGGCAGCGGUGGGAGAUAUUGCAGAGUGGGCACAAGCCUGAUACAGCCGUGCCGCGGAUGUUGAGAGGGCCUUAGGGUUGUGAAGUACUUACAGCGGGGAGGGGUUAGGCGCAGAAGAAGCGCCGGCUAACUACGUGCCAGCAGCCGCGGUAAUAC
rnacentral:rRNA from 1 species